UAGUCAUAUGCUUGUCUCAAAGAUUAAGCCAUGCAUGUCUCAGUACAAGCCUAAUUAAGGUGAAACCGCGAAAGGCUCAUUAAAUCAGUUAUGGUUCCUUAGAUCGUACCCACAAUUACUUGGAUAACUGUGGUAAUUCUAGAGCUAAUACAUGCAAACAGAGCUCCGACCGGAGACGGAAGGAGUGCUUUUAUUAGAUCAAAACCAAUCGGUGGCGGGCUUGCUCGUCAUCGUACAACUUGGUGACUCUGAAUAACUUUUCGCUGAUCGCACGGUCUCGCACUGGCGACGCAUCUUUCAAAUGUCUGCCUUAUCAACUGUCGAUGGUAGGUUCUGCGCCUACCAUGGUUGCAACGGGUAACGGGGAAUCAGGGUUCGAUUCCGGAGAGGGAGCCUGAGAAACGGCUACCACAUCCAAGGAAGGCAGCAGGCGCGCAAAUUACCCACUCCCAGCACGGGGAGGUAGUGACGAAAAAUAACGAUACGGGACUCAUCCGAGGCCCCGUAAUCGGAAUGAGAACACUCUAAACCCUUUAACGAGGAUCAAUUG
rnacentral:rRNA from 1 species